GGCCAUAUAGUGUAGUGGUUAGCACGCAGGAUUUUGAUCACUUCAAGCCUUUCCUGAGUCCCAAGUUCAAUCCUUGGUAUGGCCU
rfam:Valsa mali strain 03-8 chromosome 4, whole genome shotgun sequence.